UACGGGGGGGGCAAGCGUUGUUCGGAAUUACUGGGCGUAAAGGGCGCGUAGGCGGCCUGCUAAGUCACACGUGAAAUCCCUCGGCUCAACCGGGGAACUGCGUGUGAUACUGGCGGGCUUGAAUUCGGGAGAGGGAUGUGGAAUUCCAGGUGUAGCGGUAGUGAAUGCGUAGAUAUCGGAGGAACACCGGUGGCGAAGGCGGCAUCCUGGACCGAGAUUGACGCUGAGGCGCGAAAGCUAGGGGAGCAAACGGG
rnacentral:rRNA from 1 species